ACCGGUCAAACCUUCCAUGUCUCGCUCCUGAACCUACUCCUCCCGAUCCAAUCGUCCCCGCAAUCAUCGCACCUGCCCCUCCCGAUUCAGCCCCGCUCUUCCAUCUCGCGAGAGUCAGCCGCACCCCACCCGCCCCACGACCAUGGCGAUGUUUCGCUCCUCUAUCCAAUUUCCCUCUCCCUCUCAUCCUACCGCCGCCGCUUCCCAUGCUCUCGCUUGCCUGCUCCCCCUUGAGAUCCGAUGCCAACAAGCUACUAUGGCGGCCGUGUGACACACAGGAAGGAGGAGUUCCCACAGCAUCCUGCGCGGGGCAGGGUAUGCUACUAUAGGGGCUAGGGCAUCCCCACCCCUCUCCCUUCCCUCCUUUUUCUCUCUACUCCAAGCUUCAAUGACGGCAACUGUGGCCCCUACCCUCUGCUCCAUCAGCUCCUUGUCUCUGCAGAGCGUGUCAUCCUCCAUGGAUCCUGGUGGCGCUCAGGAUCUCUCACCGUAUGUCCAGCAAUAUCGGCCUUAAGGACGAUUGUGGACUAUGUCGCCUGCUCUAGAAAUCGAUGGACGCAACAGGUAGAACCGUAGAAGUAUUUGUGUUUUUUUUUCUGUUAAAAAAAGCACAUUGAGGCAUGUGUGAUGUUGAUGCGUACGUGAUGUCCAGGAGAUUUCUGAUGCAAUUUUGAAUGGGGACUUGAAAUCUUCAGUUCAAGUUCUAUUGUCAUUUGAUAUUUGCGGACAUUUGUUCAUGCUUUUUCUUCGAUUUUAGGCUGGAAGUAUAAAGUAUAAACACAUGUACAUAACCUUAUUUUGAAUUUCAGUCUCAUCAAAGAUGGGAUGUUCAGAAUAAUGUAACAUCGGCAUGUUCUAAUAAAUAAAAUAAGAGAAGGUUGGAGGCUUAGUAAUUACAUAGUCAGAAAAGUGGGACUAUGGUGGAUUAGAAGAUAUGUAUGUGUAGCUGCAAGCAUAUGUAUUUGGAUUGUCGGCUGAACAAUGUUUCAGCUGAAGAUCUCUGGAUUAGAUAUAUGUCCAGCCAUUCAUUAUUCCCAUGCUUGUUCUAGCCGAUCAACUACUGUAUUUGAUUGAUGACAUAUAAACAUUUUUUGAUGGAAUUGCACAUCCAGACCCCUCAUGGUGUUCAAGGAUGGUUUCAGCAGCUGGCAGUACUGGUACGUACGUGAUGCAGAGCAGUUCGGACCAUGGAAUUCUUCUACUCGAUUCAGAACAGCAUUAGCUGAAGAAAGGAAGCCUUGUGCCAAGGAGAAACAGAACUCUCGCUGUUUCUUGCGUUCACCGUACCGAAGAAGUGUCCAAGGAUAAUUACAUGGCCAAGAAGCAAAUAAAAAGAAAGCAACUACGAUUUACAGAGAGAGGUUUGGGAUGAAGCUAUCAAGAAAGGAGACCAAUUCGGGCUUAACUCUGAAUUUGAGAUUUUCCAAGCGGCCGGGACAUUGAUUGCAUUGAACAAUGGGUGUGGCCAUGAAGACUUCACUGCAUCAAACAUCUCCUGAAGCUCCAAGUUGGUGUCCCAUUGAAUAUUGAUGGAGUUCCAAUAGACCGCACUGAAGAUGCACUCAAAAAACAGGUGUUUGUCCGUUUCCAGUGGUGUGGUGUUACAGAAAAGACAUGAGUGACUGCAAUAUCAAAAUGUCUCCGGUGGAGCAUGUCCCUUGUGUUGACUCUGUCCAUUAACAUCAGCCAGGCGAACACUUUAAGUUUCAUGAUACACUUUGUCUUCCAGAUCAUUGUGAUGUAUACGGGUGGCUGCAGUUCUCUGAAGAAGAAGUUGGUGAAUUUCUUGGGCCGAAACUGAACUUCUCCCCAACAAGUAAUCCAUUCAUCAGCCAUCAUUGGUUCCAAGUAGAGAUCAUUCAUAUGAUUCUACAGACAUCUAAUUCCUGCAGCGCCUCGGUAGGGAGAAGCAUGUGGUCUGUCUUGGAAUUACACUAUAGAAAUAUCCUCCUCCCUUGUGAAAGAGAACAUGUGUGGCAGCUUGUUGGAAAGGGGUUCGUCAUCGAUCCAAAUAUCUUUCCAUAGAAGAAUUGUGUCACCGGCUCUAGGAAUGCAAGUUGUAACCCCUCUGUAUAUGUCCAUCAACGAGAACACAUCGUUCUGUAUAUCUUUCCAUAAAAGAAUCGUGUACAAUUUCUUAAGCGCAACAACUAGACAUUGAUUUGUAAUAGAAUUUCAGUUGGA